rnacentral:rRNA from 1 species
AACGAACGCUGGCGGCAGGCUUAACACAUGCAAGUCGAGCGCCCCGCAAGGGGAGCGGCAGACGGGUGAGUAACGCGUGGGAAUCUACCCAUCUCUACGGAAUAACGCAUGGAAACGUGUGCUAAUACCGUAUACGUCCUUCGGGAGAAAGAUUUAUCGGCGAUGGAUGAGCCCGCGUUGGAUUAGCUAGUUGGUGGGGUAAAGGCCUACCAAGGCGACGAUCCAUAGCUGGUCUGAGAGGAUGAUCAGCCACACUGGGACUGAGACACGGCCCAGACUCCUACGGGAGGAAGCAGUGGGGAAUAUUGGACAAUGGGCGCAAGCCUGAUCCAGCCAUGCCGCGUGAGUGAUGAAGGCCCUAGGGUUGUAAAGCUCUUUCACCGGUGAAGAUAAUGACGGUAACCGGAGAAGAAGCCCCGGCUAACUUCGUGCCAGCAGCCGCCGUAACAC